rnacentral:lncRNA from 1 species
AACCUCUGCUGUGGUCUGGUGCCCACGGCAGUGCCAGCCCUGACUCGGCCCCGUGCCAUACAGUCACGGCUUUGCCCACUUUCAUUUCUUUCCUUUUUUUCCCAAAGGACAGAGUUUAGGGAAGCAGGGCCUACCUUGCUCAUGGGAGCCAGAUUUCUGUGCCCACAGAGCACCCCCCACACCGUGGGAAUUCCCCCUCUGGUUUGUUUUCUGUUUUUGUUUUUUUUUGCUCCAAAUUUAGAAUCUGGGCUGUCCUGUGUGGGGCAUCCUGGGUGUUUCAGGAAGAUCGAUGUCAUGGAGACCUGGAAACAGACGCUGGGACUGUGUGUGCCACCGCCUGGGGCGCCGUGGGUCCCGAGGAGCUGCUGGGAAAUCAGAAGGGCGACAGGAAAACGCGUUCACGUGGGACACCCACGGCGGCCCCGCCCAUCAGCUCUGGUGCUGCCUUUCCACCGUGCGUGCGUGCGUGCGUGCGCGCCUGUGUCCUGUGCUUCCCUCGUUCUCCCUGGUGCUGGCUCAGGUUUUAUGUUUCCAGCUCUGGCUACGUGGUGGUACCUGCAUGGUUUCACGAUUUAUCUCUUGGAUCAGGGUUACGUUUUCCCCCCUUUUCCGUUUGAUCUGCGGUACACACAUGGGGAUGCUUCCAAGUGGAAAAGGCUGGUGGCCAGGCAGGGCCGCCGGGGAGGGCAGCCCAGAAUGUUCUUGGACGGCUUAUCAAAGUCGGGGCCUCGCAUCUGGAAGGCGCUCAGGGCUCUGGACAGCAGGCCGUGA